UACGUAGGGGGGCAAGCGUUGUCCGGAUUUAUUGGGCGUAAAGAGCGUGUAGGCGGCCAGGUAGGUCCGUUGUGAAAACUCGAGGCUCAACCUCGAGACGUCGGCGGAAACCCUCUGGCUAGAGUCCGGAAGAGGAGAGUGGAAUUCCUGGUGUAGCGGUGAAAUGCGCAGAUAUCAGGAGGAACACCGGUGGUGAAGGCGGCUUGCUGGGCCAGUUCCUGACGCUGAGGCACGAAGGUCAGGGGAGCAAACGGG
rnacentral:rRNA from 1 species